rnacentral:rRNA from 1 species
UACAGGGGGUGCAAACGUUGCUCGGAAUUAUUGGGCGUAAAGCGCGCGUAGGCGGCUACUUAAGUCGGAUGUGAAAGCCCCUGGCUUAACUGGGGAAGUGCACCCGAAACUGAGUAGCUAGAGUGCGAAAGAGGGUCGCGGAAUUCCCGGUGUAGAGGUGAAAUUCGUAGAUAUCGGGAGGAACACCGGUGGCGAAGGCGGCGACCUGGGUCGACACUGACGCUGAGACGCGAAAGCGUGGGGAGCAAACGGG